rnacentral:lncRNA from 1 species
GUUCACUAUGGCUUAAUCUCGGGUCAAUAUGCUUAAUCUCAGGUCAAAUCGCUUUCAAUUUUUUUCGUUUUUUUCUUAAUCUCAGUUCACUAUGGCUUAAUCUCGGGUCAAUAUGCUUAAUCUCAGGUCAAAUCGCUUUCAAUUUUUUUUCGUUUUUUUUCUUAAUCUCAGUUCACUAUGGCUUAAUCUCGGGUCAAUAUGCUUAAUCUCAGGUCAAAUCGCUUUCAAUUUUUUUUCGUUUUUUUUCUUAAUCUCAGUUCACUAUGGCUUAAUCUCGGGUCAAUAUGCUUAAUCUCAGGUCAAAUCGCACUCCGUGGUCAAACUUCCCGAAAGGUCACCCAUCCUGACACUACUCCAGCCCA